rnacentral:lncRNA from 1 species
UUUUUUACCUGUCUUUAGUCAGGAAUCUGAUGUUCAGUGGUUGUCGUUUGUCUCUUUGGUUCAUAAGUGAUUCUCGUUUUUCGUUUUUGUAUGUACAUUAGACAUUUGGUUUUCCUGUUUGAAUGGAUUAACACUAGUUGGACCUUUUAUAGCUUGCAGUUUUGAUGUGAGAUAAGGCGUCAUGUAGUAGACCGUACUUUGACCUAUUAUGGUUUACUUUUACAAAUUGUGACUUGUAAGGGAUAGUUUCCGCGUUUGCACCAUACCACAUCUUUUUUU